GGAUUCCUAUUAACUGGGGGCGGGCAGGGCCUAACACAUGCAAGUCGAGCGGAAACGAGUUAUCUGAACCUUCGGGGGACGAUAACGGCGUCGAGCGGCGGACGGGUGAGUAAUGCCUAGGAAAUUGCCCUGAUGUGGGGGAUAACCAUUGGAAACGAUGGCUAAUACCGCAUAAUGCCUACGGGCCAAAGAGGGGGACCUUCGGGCCUCUCGCGUCAGGAUAUGCCUAGGUGGGAUUAGCUAGUUGGUGAGGUAAUGGCUCACCAAGGCGACGAUCCCUAGCUGGUCUGAGAGGAUGAUCAGCCACACUGGAACUGAGACACGGUCCAGACUCCUACGGGAGGCAGCAGUGGGGAAUAUUGCACAAUGGGCGCAAGCCUGAUGCAGCCAUGCCGCGUGUGUGAAGAAGGCCUUCGGGUUGUAAAGCACUUUCAGUCGUGAGGAAGGUAGUGUAGUUAAUAGCUGCAUUAUUUGACGUUAGCGACAGAAGAAGCACCGGCUAACUCCGUGCCAGCAGCCGCGGUAAU
rnacentral:rRNA from 1 species